rnacentral:lncRNA from 1 species
AAGUCCCUAAAUAUGGCAAAGGAGAAAUCAAAGGAGUCCCUAAAUCACCACCGGACCAAUCAAAGGAAAAAUAUGAAGCACAUGCAAGAGAUAUAUGCGCCACAAGAAGCCUCAGGGAUUUCAGGUUUAAUUGAGACCCAAGGAAACAUUUGAAGAACAUGGUUCUUGGUCUCCCUCAACUCCCAGCUAAUGUGACACGAGAAAGCACACGGCUGCGCCCGACAAUGUUGUGGAGUGGUGUUAGGCCUUUUAGAUCUGGUCAUGUAUUUGCAACAGAACCUUGGAGUGGUGUUACGUCUGCAAUGGUUUAAACAGUUCCAAAGACGUCACCACAGGAAGCUAUCACCAGUUCUAGAAUUGGAGGAACUGGAAUCAGGCAAAGGCAAGAAAGAAGUGGAAGCAAAACAUGUGAGUUAUUCAUACACGUUUUUCCAUCUGAUAUUUGCAUUGGCGAGCAGGUAAUCGGACAUACUUUUAUUGGGAUGGAGCAGUUCAGAUAGCUCGGAUCUCAUUGAUGUCGGGUGGUUGGU